ACACUACACACAUACUGCAUUACAUACACACUGCAUUACAUACACACUACACAAACACACACUGCAUUACAUACACAUACUGCAUUACAUACACACACUACACAAACACACACACUGCAUUACAUACACACACAAAAACACACUGCAUUAUACACACACAAUACAUAAACACACUGCAUUAUAUACACACUACACACACUGCAUUAUAUACACACUACAUUCAUUAUACACACACUACACAAACACACACUCUGCAUCCACUACACACACAGUUCCCCUGUCUAAACACACUUCAUCCACUACAUGUGGCAUGUAUAUUUUGUGCAUUUACCUUUCGAAUUAGUUUAUUUAUUCAAAAUAGUAAAUGUACAGAAUAUCGGCAAGAUAUCGGCUAUCGGCCUGAAAGUUCGCAGAUUAUCGGU